UCAAUGAGCUGACUGGAAAAAAAAAUCACUAUUUUGAACUGUUAUUGUCCUUUCUUAUUCUAUACAUAAGAAACCAUUUAUUGAUUAGAGUUUGUCAUGAAAUGAAAGUAGAUAGAAAGUAACUUGCCAUGGCCAGCUCAGUGGUUGGACUGAAAGGAAGCUCC
ensembl:miRNA Gm24273 predicted gene, 24273